ACUCAAAUUUUUAUUUUGAAUCGAUUUUAAUUUCAUUCCGGUGAGUAAAAAUUAAAUGCAGAACCUUGUGUAGGAGCAGCCUAGAUCCAGCCCCGAACAUUCAAAGCACAUACAAUCGAAAUAUGAAAAGAUGUUAAUUCUUUCUAAACCCAUAAUAUUUGAGUUCGUUAGCCUGGUCCUGAUGCCUGGUUCUAGAUGGUUAUGCUUAUGCUCAUGAUUGUGCCUUCUCUUGAUGUUAUUGCAAUGGAGAAUGCGGUGCAAUAGUCCUUGAGAAAAAUUACAAAAUGGGAAUAUCUACUCUUUUGCUGUGUGUGUUCCUUCAAAGAACGCGUAUUCCUUUUCCUAUACAUACUAACAUUGAAUAUUAAACGCGAAUGAAUAGGCAAAUGAGCAUAAUGAAUUGCUUUUUCGUUACAACCAGCAUCAGAAGAAAAAGAAAACAUUGUUCUUCAUCCUUAACACUUUUUCUUCAUAUCCUUGUGGGUAACUAAAACUCCAGCUUAAGACCAUCAUCGGCAACAACUUUAACCAUCGUAUCGCAUCAACGGUAUAAACCUAGUAACUACCCAACAGCAGCGAGGGCGGAUUUGGCAAAACGCGAAGAAGGUUUCCCCCGAUUUCCGGAUCGUUGAACGGAAUAGCUGUUCGAUAAGUUUUGCAAUCGUCCUCGUUCUCGUCGUCCUCGUUACCAUCCAUGUCGCUCGAUUUCAGCUUUCAGGGAAUGAGUUUCUAGUCUUUUUUUUCUUCUAUAAGGACAAAUUAUGCUUUUGGUAUUUAAGUGUAAAGUGAAAAAUAUAUACCAAUAUUUAUUCCAUCAUCAAAUGAACGGGAAUAGGUUGGUAUAAGUGGGUAGGUGUAAACUGAAAUGCAGAUGUUGAGGAUGGGAUAGGUGAUUUGGGGAGGUGCAGAAGGGAUGAAAUGGAAAAGGAGGACUUUAGAAACAAAACCAGAAAGAAGAAGUGAUUUUUCUUAAUUGGCUGUUAAUUAACCGCUGUGGAAUUUAAUUAGCCAUAAAGGCUGCUUCAGCUUUGAGUCUGUACAUAGUGCACCAUAGUAUAUAGCCUCGAUGAUGGCUUGAUGGUGGAUCUGGUUGAACGGAAACAGCGACGAGCGACGGUAACGGUGGCGCGGCAUCGUCGGCGAAAUGAAGAAGCGAAGUAAGAGUACCACAGCAAUUUUCUACUUCUGGUAUGGAAGCAAUUAAUUUCCGUUUUGAAUUUCGCGUGAGACAGUAAACAGCGACAAAUAGAGAGAUAUAGAGAGAGAGAAACAGUGCGCUAUCGUUCUUUUAGAUAGAGUGUUCAUUUGCUAUUGAAUCGGUAAUUAAAAGGAAAUGAUGAUCAUAAAUUGAGAAGUGUGAAAAAGUGCUGAGGACAUAUUUUUUGUAGACAGGAAGUAGCUUACUAUAUUUUUUUAAUGACAAAAAGUUUAAAAG